GGCGGAUAAAAUUCAGAAAAGGGAGGACAGAAAGGUAGAAAAAAUGUUAAAAAGUUGCAUGCCCGAUCAGGUAAAAGAAAUGUUUCCUGACCUAGAAAAUAACAUGCCUCAGAUAUUGAAGAAAUUCUUAUUGGAGCUGCUAUUGGAAGAAGUAUUUGCCACAUGUGGUUCGAUAAUGCCAAUAACACCAAUGAGGUAUAUUACGGCAGAAUUGUUAGCAUUAAAAAGAAGAACAAUGAUAUAUAUAUAUAUCGUUUCUUAUUGGAAACCAAAAGAAAAUGAAGAUGAUGACGGUGUUGAGUAUGAUAUGAGCAAAUAUCAACUUUCUGCAGACAUAAUAAGCGGUGAUAUGGUGAUAACAUAACAGAAUUGUGUAAUAAUAAGGUAGUCGGGUAAUUACCGACAUCUAACAACCAGGGUUGACCUGGUUGCAACGUGUUAUGGGAAACCAAAGCUCAUUUACUUUUUGACAUAAGCAAAUUGCUUGGCUUAUGACAAUUAAUGUUUAUCAUUGAUGUUUAUCAUUAUCAAUGAUGGCAAUGCAUUUUUCUAUCAAGUAUAACAGAGUUUCGCUUGCGUGGAUUGAGAGAUGUUAAACAGUAUUGAAGGGUCGGCUAUCGAUUUUUUUGUUUGGUAAUGGGAAGUUUGUUGUGUAUCAGGAGUUAAGUGAUUUUGAAUUUUUUAACUUAAUAAAUCAUUCUCAUAUUUAGUAAUCUCUAAUGGGUUUUUCAGUUAUGGGGCUAAAUAUCUAAUGCAUUUUCAUUUAUUUUUUAUUGCAAGGUUUUAACAAUAAUGGCAAUUUGCUACUGUGGAUAUUUAUGUUAAAGACCUCAAGAUUAUAUUUAUUAAUUCAGUUAAACAACAUGAUGAAAACUACGUGGUUGCUUCAGUGGAUGUUGAUCUUUUUCAUAUCAAGAUUAAACCGAUAUUAUUGGAUGUGGUUUCCUUUGCGUACUAAAGAAUCGACUCUUUCUAUCUAUGGAUGUCAAAGUUUUGUUUGCUUCAAAAUCUAGGCUUUUUUCAAAGCCACAAUUCUGUUAAAAACAUUACUGAGC